rnacentral:rRNA from 1 species
UCCUUAGAUGUUCUGGGCAGCACGCGCGCUACAAUGGUCUUCGCAAACGGAUGCAUUCUCGAAGGAGAAUGCCAAUCUUGGAAUCUAUGCCUUGGUCGGGACAGUUGCUUGCAAUUUUUCGACUCGAACCAGGAAUUCCUUGUAAUCGUGAUUCAUCACAUCACGAUGAAUACGUCCCUGCCCUUUGUACACACCGCCCGUCGCUCCUACCGAUCGAAGAGUUAGGUGAAUUGUUUUGAUCGAUAAGAUUUGACUAUGGUCAACUCUCGUUGUGAAAUUCUGUGAAUCUGACUGUUUAGAGGGAGGAAAAGUCGUAACA